rnacentral:rRNA from 1 species
UACGUAGGGGGCAAGCGUUGUCCGGAUUUAUUGGGCGUAAAGAGCGUGUAGGCGGCCAGACAGGUCCGUUGUGAAAACUCGAGGCUCAACCUCGAGAUGUCGAUGGAAACCGUCUGGCUAGAGUCCGGAAGAGGAGUGUGGAAUUCCUGGUGUAGCGGUGAAAUGCGCAGAUAUCAGGAGGAACACCUGUGGCGAAAGCGGCUCACUGGACCAUAACUGACGCUGAUGCACGAAAGCUGGGGGAGCAAACAGG